AAACACGGAUGUUUGUUUUAAUUUAAACCGCUUUGAAAAUAGCAAUAUAUAUGAUACAAUUAGAACUCGCUAAUUGCAUUUAUAUCAUAUGUCUACAAAAAAAGAUAGAUUUUGUUUAUUAGAAAGAAAUUUUGUAACACGACUAAUGUCUGCGUAUUUUGUCAUGUUUGUUAUUUUAUACAAACUGGAUAAACUGACUUUUUCUCAUAUUUAUGUGAACAACUCGGAUUUUUUGUAUUCAAUUGAAAAAGCAGACUUGCAAUUGGCGAGGUUUGAAUGUAUUUCACUUCGUCACAUGCCAGCGCGCAUAUCUGUCAAGUCAGAAACGUAAACAAACACGGACAACCGCCCGUAAAGAUUGUAAUGCAGAAUAAUCGUAAAAUUUUAUGUGAAAACUCGGGAAAAGGAAAAACAUCAUUUCAUCCCGAAAUUUGGCAACAUUCGUCCGAGUAUGAUCGAGCAGCUGUGUGUGUGUGUGUAUGCCGACGAAAUACGACGCCGUUUCUACAACAAUCACUAAAGCCGGCUGUGAUCGUGAUCGGCACAUUCUCAACUGGACCAACACACCGGUCGUUGUGUAUCUUCAAGCAAACCAACGUUGCCAUACACCACAAAAUAGCAUGGAAAGGAAA